rnacentral:rRNA from 1 species
GACGAACGCUGGCGGCGUGCUUAACACAUGCAAGUCGAGCGGCGCGGCGAACGGGUGAGUAACGCGUGAGUAACUGCCCCCCUCUCUGGGAUAACAGUUGGAAACGGCGGCCAAUACCGGACAGUGGGGGAUGACUCGCGUCCUAUCAGCUUGUUGGUGGGGUAGGUGCCUACCAAGGCGAAGACGGGUAGCCGGCCUUAGAGGGCGACCGGCCACAGUGGGCUGAGAUACGGACCAACCUCCUACGGGAGGCAGCAGUGGGGAGUAUUGCACAAUGGGGGAAACCCUGAUGCAGCAACGUCGCGUGCGUGAUGACGGCCUUCGGGGUGUAAACCGCUUUCAGCCAUGACGCGGUAGUUGCAGAAGAAGCACCGGCUAACUACGUGCCAGCAGCCGCGGUAAUAC